AUUGAACGCUGGCGGCAGGCCUAACACAUGCAAGUCGAGCGGAUGAAGGGAGCUUGCUCCUGGAUUCAGCGGCGGACGGGUGAGUAAUGCCUAGGAAUCUGCCUGGUAGUGGGGGAUAACGUCCGGAAACGGGCGCUAAUACCGCAUACGUCCUGAGGGAGAAAGUGGGGGAUCUUCGGACCUCACGCUAUCAGAUGAGCCUAGGUCGGAUGAGCUAGUUGGUGGGGUAAAGGCCUACCAAGGCGACGAUCCGUAACUGGUCUGAGAGGAUGAUCAGUCACACUGGAACUGAGACACGGUCCCGACUCCUACGGGAGGCAGCAGUGGGGAAUAUUGGACAAUGGGCGAAAGCCUGAUCCAGCCAUGCCGCGUGUGUGAAGAAGGUCUUCGGAUUGUAAAGCACUUUAAGUUGGGAGGAAGGGCAGUAAGUUAAUACCUUGCUGUUUUGACGUUACCAACAGAAUAAGCACCGGCUAACUUCGUG
rnacentral:rRNA from 1 species